GUGCUGUAUUGUGACUCUUCUCUGUCUUAAAUAACAAAGUCAUGACCUAGCACAGCCUAGUCUGUUUAUCUGGCGCAGUUUCUUUGUGCUUGCAGGUAUGAGGCAGAGCAAGGGCCUGCUUCACAUGCAUGAUAUGAAAUUCACCUGCAGUAUAUUUAUAUAUCGCAUUAUUAUCAGGCCCUCUCUGACAUGAAGCAGAUGGCGCUGAUGCAGGUGGUAGCCAGUGUUUAAAAGGUGUGUGCAUAUGCACCUUGUUCGUCCCUUUUGUUCCAGUUAGAUGUGUGUGGCCCGGGCUCUAAUGGUGCUAAAAUCACCUUUUGGAAGGCGACACCUUGCCAAAUCAGAUCUGUGAGUGUUGAGGUAAUAGCGCGGGAUUGAUCGGUGGACAGACGGCCAUGCCGGUGUUGUGCAACCCCUACGGUGACGUAGUCUGCAUGUCACGUGCAGAAUUGUUAAUAGAUUUUCCUCAUUUGUGUGAGACACCGCAAACACACGGCCGAGACCUUUCCAUUACCGGCCCGAGCGAAAUCCAGACGGCGACAUACGACACUAAAGCUAAUAUAACGUUAAAACGAAGCUGAAAUAGCAUCAAGAAUGACUGCAAGUUCCACCUCUUGACAGCAUCGCAGCUGUAGACUAGCGGUAGUAAUCCUCCAGUGGCAGUUUUAAUUAUCGGCACAGCUCUACUAUCAGCAAGUGUGUAAUUAUGUGUCAGCUCGGUGGCUGCUGGGUAUGAAGGGUGAAAGUGAGAGAUAUGAUGAUUGUUGAAACUGGCGAGUCGUAUUUAAACAAUCCGGAGCAUGUGAGGGGUUCUGUCAUUAAGCAGACAGUGGCUGACCCGUCCUGUCGCUCACCAUCUCACUUAUGCAGAUUUUUUUUCUUUUUUUUUCACUCUAUCUGUUUGUGUGUCUUCGCAGGACGUAAUGCUUACAGGAGGAGGUCGGGGCAGGAAGUGGCUGAAGGCCGCCUGAAACCCCUUUGAGGCAACGAUGCUUCAUCUUAUCAUGGGCCUGGUGCAGGGCUGCCGAAAUGUGACACGACGCUCAUUCUGAGGUCAGUGCUAAUGUUUUCUUCAUUGGAUGAUCAUCUGGUGUAUGAUGGUUAUGUAAUUAUGAGUGUUUAUGCAUUUAUUUGUUUAGGUUUUAAUGGAAUUUGACAUUUCACCUCAAAUUCCCCCCUAAGAAAAGCAUUAGGAAAUUAUAUUUUUGUUUAAAGGAAAUGAAACUUAUUUUAAAACUGUAAUGUUUAAUGCAUGUCAUGAGAGCUGCAUUUACCCUCUAAUUUUCUCAUUACUGUAAUUUGUUUUCAUAUUCAUAUACUGCAUUUUUUUUCCUCAUUAUAUUAGCAUCACUAUAAUUAAUGUAUUUUUUUAAAACUUAGUUUAAAAAGUAAUUUAGUAUGAUUGUGGGUAUGGUGGUAUUUUAUUUGUAUUUUAAUUUUAAUAAGCACUUUACUAUAAUUUUAAGUAUUUUAAAUAUUUUAGUAAAAUAGUUUUAAUAAAAUAUGCAUUUAUUUUAGUUUCAUUUUAACUGUU
ensembl:lncRNA